UAGGAUGCUGGCGUAAUGGUUGUAAGCGACCCGUCUUGUAACACGGACCAAGGAGUCUAACAUAUGUGCGAGUACAGGGGUGUCAAACCCCGGUGCGUAAUGAAAGUGACAGUGGUUGGAUAUUUUGCACAAUCCGCCGGCCUCAAUCCUUCGGGAGAACGGUCUGAGUGUGAGCAUACAUGUUGGGACCCGAAAGAUGGUGAACUAUGCCUGAAUAGGGUGAAGCCAGAGGAAACUCUGGUGGAGGCCCGUAGCGAUACUGACGUGCAAAUCGUUCGUCGAA
rnacentral:rRNA from 1 species